rnacentral:antisense_RNA from 1 species
UGUGGGAGCGGGCUUGCUCGCGAUGCGGACGACGCAGUUCGUCUGAUGCACCGCAGCGAUCCAAUCGCGAGCAAGCCCGCUCCCACA